rnacentral:tRNA from 1 species
GCGGAUGUGGCGGAACUGGCAGACGCACAGGCUUCAGGUGCCUGCGGGCUUAGGCCCUUGGAGGUUCGACUCCUCUCAUCCGCA